AGCGAACGCUGGCGGCAGGCCUAACACAUGCAAGUCGAGCGGCCGUAGCAAUACGGCAGCGGCAGACGGGAGAGUAACACGUGGGAACGCGCCCUUCGGUUCGGAAUAACUCAGGGAAACUUGAGCUAAUACCGGAUACGCCCUUACGGGGAAAGAUAUAUUGCCGAAGGAACGGCCCGCGUCCGAUUAGCUUGUUGGUGAGGUAACGGCUCACCAAGGCGACGAUCGGUAGCUGGUCUGAGAGGAUGACCAGCCUCACUGGGACUGAGACACGGCCCAGACUCCUACGGGAGGCAGCAGUGGGGAAUAUUGGACAAUGGGCGCAAGCCUGAUCCAGCCAUGCCGCGUGGGUGAUGAAGGCCCUAGGGUUGUAAAGCCCUUUCAGCGGGGAAGAUAAUGACGGUACCCGCAGAAUAAGCCCCGGCUAACUUCGUGCCAGCCGCCGCAGUAAGAC
rnacentral:rRNA from 1 species